GAGUCCUUAUCUGAAUUUAAACACGCAAAGGACGAUCCAAAACCACAACUACACCAGAAAUCAUUGAGCAAGUUCAUAAUAUUAUUUACAUAUAAAAAGUUAGUGCCGCACAAGUUAACAAUUCAACAUAAACUGAAUCGAAAACAAUUUAUCAGCAUGGUCUGGAGCAUUUUAAGCAGAAUAAAACCGAUUUCUUGCGUGUUUAUAAGUACGGAUGAGAGUUGGAUCUACCACAUAAUCCUAAAUUGAAACAAAAACGUCUACAAUGGACUGAAGCUGUUUGUUCAGCUACAAAGCAGGAAUUUUGUUAAUUGAUUAUAUGCAGAAAGGUAAAACA